rnacentral:rRNA from 1 species
CCUACGGGUGGCUGCAGUGGGGGAUAUUGCACAAUGGGGGGAACCCUGAUGCAGCGACGCCGCGUGUGGGAAGACGGUCCUCUGGAUUUUAAACCACUGUCCCCAGGGACGAAAAUGACGUUACCUGUGGAGGAAGCUCCGGCUAACUACGGGCAAGCAGCCGCGGUAAUACGUAGGGAGCGAGCGUUUUCCGGAUGUACUGGGUGUAAGGGGAGCGUAGGCGGGGAUGCAAGUUGGGUGUAAAAACUACCGGCUCAACUGGUAGGCGCGGUUGAAACUGCAGAGCUUGAGUGAAGUAGAGGCAGGUGGAAUUCCUAGUGUAGCGGUGAAAUGCGUAGAUAUUAGGAGGAACACCAGUGGCGAAGGCGGCUUGCUGGGCUUUUACUGACGCUGAGGCUCGAAAGUGUGGGGAGCAAACAGGAUUAGAUACCUUUGUAGUC